CUGUUCGUAGCGCAGUCUGGUCAGCGUGGGUCCCUUGGAAGGAUCAGGUCGGUGGUUCAAAUCCACCCGGACAGA
rnacentral:tRNA from 1 species